rnacentral:piRNA from 1 species
UAACACAUGCCAAGACAAGGAUAAAACC